CAAAGAGAAAGUGUUGGAAUUCAAGGAUUUGAUCAAGCAAAGGUGGUGAGCCAUUGAAUACGGGUAAAAGAUUGUACUCGCGGACUGAAAAUAGGAGUAUUUCUACUCCUAAUACUGCUCAGGACAGUUUGUUGAUAGUUGAUUAAGACGCGAAUUAAUCUCGGAGUUGCAUCAUAGAAAAUAAGGGUUCAUAGCCCUACACCUUCUUGGUCAGUUGGGGGCCCACGUGUCACUGUAAAAAUAAUUUUAUACUUCAGUUAUCUGAUUUAAAGUAUGUAUGAACAUAUUUAUCUUUCACACUAUGUUUUUGGUGGGUUUCGGUAUUUUUGAAGAAAAAUGACGAAAAUGCCCCUGUGAGCCAGAAAAUAAUAUUUUAUUGUUUUGA